CACCGAAAGAAAGGAGUGGCGAAGUAAGUACACGUGGGUAACCUGCCCAUCAGAAGGGGAUAACACUUGGAAACAGGUGCUAAUACCGUAUAACAAUUGAAACCGCAUGGUUUUGAUUUGAAAGGCGCUUUCGGGUGUCGCUGAUGGAUGGACCCGCGGUGCAUUACUAUUGGUGAGGUAACGGCUCACCAAGGCCACGAUGCAUAGCCGACCUGAAGGGUGAUCGGCCACAUUGGGACUGAGACACGGCCCAAACUCCUACGGGAGGCAGCAGUAGGGAAUCUUCGACAAUGGACGAAAGUCUGACCGAGCAACGCCGCGUGAGUGAAGAAGGUUUUCGGAUCGUAAAACUCUGUUGUUAGAGAAGAACAAGGAUGAGAGUAACUGUUCAUCCCUUGGACGGUAUCUAACCAGAAAGCCACGGUAACUACGUGCCAGCAGCCGGGUAAAUACGUAAGGUGCAAGCGUUGUCCGGAUUUUAUUGGGCGUAAAGCGAGCGCAGGCGGUUUCUUAAGUCUGAUGUGAAAGCCCCCGGCUCAACCGGGGAAGGUCAUUGGAAACUGGGAACUUGAUGCAAAAAAGAAUUGGAAUUCCAUGUGU
rnacentral:rRNA from 1 species